rnacentral:rRNA from 1 species
AACGAACGCUGGCGGCAUGCCUAACACAUGCAAGUCGAACGAGACCUUCGGGUCUAGUGGCGCACGGGUGCGUAACGCGUGGGAACCUGCCCUUAGGUUCGGAAUAACUCCCCGAAAGGGGUGCUAAUACCGGAUAAUGUCUUCGGACCAAAGAUUUAUCGCCUUUGGAUGGGCCCGCGUUGGAUUAGCUAGUUGGUAGGGUAAAAGCCUACCAAGGCGACGAUCCAUAGCUGGUCUGAGAGGAUGAUCAGCCACACUGGGACUGAGACACGGCCCAGACUCCUAGGGGGGGGAGCAGGGGGGAAUAUUGGACAAGGGGCGAAAGCCUGAUCCAGCAAUGCCGGGUGAGUGAUGAAGGCCUUGGGGUUGUAAAGCUCUUUUCCCCGGGAUGAUAAUGACAGUACCGGGAGAAAAAGCCCCGGCAAACCCCGU